rnacentral:rRNA from 1 species
AUUGAACGCUGGCGGCAUGCCUUACACAUGCAAGUCGAACGGUAACAGGUCUUCGGAUGCUGACGAGUGGCGAACGGGUGAGUAAUACAUCGGAACGUGCCUAGUAGUGGGGGAUAACUACUCGAAAGAGUGGCUAAUACCGCAUGAGAUCUACGGAUGAAAGCAGGGGAUCGCAAGACCUUGUGCUACUAGAGCGGCCGAUGGCAGAUUAGGUAGUUGGUGGGAUAAAAGCUUACCAAGCCGACGAUCUGUAGCUGGGCUGAGAGGACGAUCGGCCACAUGGGGACUGAGACACGGCCCAGACUGCUACGGGAGGCAGCAGUGGGGAAUUUUGGACAAUGGGCGCAAGCCUGAUCCAGCAAUGCCGCGUGCAGGAUGAAGGCCUUCGGGUUGUAAACUGCUUUUGUACGGAACGAAAAGCCCUGGGUUAAUACCCUGGGGUCAUGACGGUACCGUAAGAAUAAGCACCGGCUAACUACGUGCCAGCCGCCGCCGUAA